ACUGUCAGGAGGGCAUGAGCUGAAGUUUCUUUUUCCAUGAAUCAAAAUGGGACCGGAGUUUCCCUGCAACGUGCCCAAAGAAAAAAAUUGGUCAAAAGUAAAUCAAAUGUACAUGAUAAUAAAAUCGUCGGUCUAAAUACAGGACUCAUCAUACCAGGACAAUGAAAUCACAAUUGUCACACUGAUGUGUAUAAAUUUUUGGAUUGAGCAAAACCUCGAUCCAGAUAUUUUUAGAGU
rnacentral:lncRNA from 1 species